rnacentral:rRNA from 2 species
AAAUUGAAGAGUUUGAUCAUGGCUCAGAUUGAACGCUGGCGGCAGGCCUAACACAUGCAAGUCGAACGGUAACAGGAAGCAGCUUGCUGUUUCGCUGACGAGUGGCGGACGGGUGAGUAAUGUCUGGGAAACUGCCUGAUGGAGGGGGAUAACUACUGGAAACGGUAGCUAAUACCGCAUAACGUCGC